AACGAACGCUGGCGGCGUGCCUAACACAUGCAAGUCGUGCGAGAAAGUUCCUUCGGGAGCGAGUAAAGCGGCGCACGGGUGAGUAACACGUAGGUAACCUGCCCCCCAGUCUGGAACAACUAGAGGAAACUCUAGCUAAUGCCGGAUGAGACCACGAUCCCUUCGGGGGUUGCGGCCAAAGAUGGCCUCUACUUGUAAGCUAUCGCUGAGGGAUGGGCCUGCGGGCCAUUAGCUUGUUGGUGAGGUAACGGCUCACCAAGGCUGUGAUGGCUAGCUGGUCUGAGAGGAUGACCAGCCACACUGGGACUGAGACACGGCCCAGACUCCUACGGGAGGCAGCAGUGGGGAAUAUUGCGCAAUGGGCGAAAGCCUGACGCAGCGACGCCGCGUGGGUGAUGAAGGCCUUCGGGUCGUAAAGCCCUGUCGCAGGGGAAGAAUAAGCAUCGGUAUAAUACGCCGGUGCCCUGACGGUACCCUGCAAGGAAGCACCGGCUAACUCCGUG
rnacentral:rRNA from 1 species